rnacentral:misc_RNA from 1 species
GAUGAAGAACGUAGCGAAAUGCGAUAAGUAGUGUGAAUUGCAGAAUUCAGUGAAUCAUCGAAUCUUUGAACGCACAUUGCGCCCUUCGGUAUUCCGUUGGGCAUGCCUGUUCGAGCGUCAUUUAAACCUUCAAGCUAUGCUUGGUGUUGGGUGUUUGUUCCGCCUCUGCGCGUGGACUCGCCUCAAAUUCAUUGGCAGCCGGUAUGUUGGCUUCGUGCGCAGCACAUUGCAAGCGAUUUCAACAGAACUCCUUCCAUAAGCCCUUUUUUUACUUUGACCUCGGAUCAGGUAGGGAUACCCGCUGAACUUAAGCAUAUCAAUAAGCGGAGGA